CUGGACUAGAUUUCUGAGAUGGGACCUGGAUACAACUUUCAGCAAAGCUGGGGUCGCUUGUGGAAACGUGGUUGGAAGAGUGCCCUAAAAAGAAAAAAAUCCACUUCAAGAAAAGUCUCAACCAACAGUUGAGAGCCAGCUACAUCAGUGGACUAAGUGUAUCAAGAAAACCCCUUCACGGUGACUUGUCACGUUUCAAUGAGGAGCUCUGAAUGGACUGAGUUAAGAAAUGGUCCUCCAUGCUUCAAAAGUUAAGGUAUGUAUGUGCUCCUUCACUAAAUCACCUACUUAUACUUUUUCAGUCCAGAGUCUGGAGAGUUGGUGCUUACAUUGUAAAGCAUGUGUUUAAACAAACAAGCUUGUUUAAACAAACAGUACCUUAAGAGGGACCCAUAAGGUUAUUUAAUUGAGAAGUGCAAUCUCUACAUUUUAUAUGCAGUCUUCUUUCUAAAGCUGAGCAGUACAUAAUUUCUAGCAAUUGGUUUAAAAAAAAUUACACAAGUCAGUCAAGAAAAUAUAAACACCAACAGUUUCCACUCUAACUUGUAACUGUUGGUCCAAUACUGCAUCCUUAAAGAUUUAAGGAUCUAAAUUUACCAUAAAUAAAAUCAACCUAAAUUUGCAAAAGAAAAUGGACACUAAGCAAUAAUGAAGCAUUCUGUAUCUCUCAUGCUUGUUUGCUACUCAUUUGCACAAUUUAUGUUCCUCAAAAUGGGUUUCCAGUUACUCUGCUUGCCUGGCCUAGUUAUGCAUAGAUUAUGACACUUACAGAGAGAUCGAGUGCUUUGAGUGCACCGAUUGAGCACUUUGAGUGCUUCUGAAGGUGUUAUAGUUUGUGUUAUUCAAAAGAAACUUGGUUAGUUCAAAAUACAAUUAUAGCUAGUAAUCACUACAGUGUUGAUACAAGCCAGGGCAACUCAAAGGUUUGAGAGUACAUUAGGAAAUACAACACUAUCCACUGUAAGGCAAAGGGGAGAAUUUUUAAUCAUUCAUGUGUGCUCACAUUAACCAAUAUUAAUUACCCUAAAGGAUACGUUUAAACUGAAAAUUGUCAAAUGUACCUGUUAACAGUAGGGUAUUUAUCCAGUGAGGAAUGGAUAUGUGAAUAUAUCAGGAAAAUCUUGAGAAGAAAUGCUGAAACUGAGUUACAUAAAGCAUCCUCAAUACAAUUUUCAUACUGAUUUGUUUCACUAAUUACUGUUGCUAUACCACAAGUAUUCCUCUAUUUAGAUACUAAGAAGCAAUUGCAUAUAUCUUUGUUCAUGACCUAUGGCUGAUCACAGACUUUUGUUACCAUUUCCUGCUCAACGCUCCAACACUAGCAAGUAUUUAAGUCAAGCCAGUUUCAUAAUAAACCAAAUUCUGGUUUGCACAAUAGACUGAACAAGUCCCAGAAUGUUUCACUUAAUGGAUAUGGAUGCAAUUUGCUAUGAAGCAUUUCUGAAUACCUGUACAAAUUUUGGACAAAUUUUAUGAAGGCAACAAUCCUAAUAAGCAGCUUAUACACUUCUUGUUAAGACACGGGAAAGGAGGGGUGGGGAAAAGACCUACUUACCACUUUUGGGAGGGGAAAAAAAUAUAGCUACCUUAAAUCUACAACCUAUUUUUGUUCACCUUGUUCACAUAUCUUUAACAAAUCUCAGAAGCAAUUCACAGGAGGAGGGGCACAUUUUUGCACUACAAGUCAUCCACUCUACCUAGCUGUUCCUUAUUUGACAAUGUGAUGUAAUUUCCUUUUUUUUUUUUUCCUUUGACUUUCUGGUUAACGUAAGUACCUGAAAUAGAGUCCCCUUUUAAUAUUUAAGUAUUUCAGACUUCCAACUGGACAUUUAAAAGCCUGAAUUACCUUACUAUACUUUCUGGAGUUCCAUAUACCUAAAAACGAACAAACAAAACAAAGGGAGGGGGGAGGGUGGAAGUCACCACCACCACCACCAAAACCCAAAACUAACAAAAACAACAAAACACAACCCCCCCCCCCAAACAAACAAAGAACCCCCACAACAAUAAGCCCUUUGUUCUCUAGUGGUCAUAUCAACCCUUAAGUACUUUUGUCUUUGAAACCAGAUAAAUGCUCAGUGACUGACAACUAGCAAGAACGAUCUUACAAGAAGGUUGUUUUAAAACUAUUCAUUUAAUGCCUUGAUCUUAUUUACUAGGCAUCUAAGCUCCACUGUGCAAUUUCACAAAGUAAACUGUGUCCCAGAAAUAAUAAAAAUAA